rnacentral:tRNA from 1 species
AUAUAUGUAUUUAAAUUAUAAAAUUUGAAUUGCAAUCAAAAAUUAAUUUCUAUGUAGUUUCGACCUAUAAUAUUAA